rnacentral:rRNA from 1 species
AUACGUAGGGGGCGAGCGUUGUCCGGAAUUACUGGGUGUAAAGGGCGUGUAGGCGGGGGUGCAAGUUACCGGUAAAAACCCGAGGCUUAACUUCGGGCUUGCCGAUAAAACUGUAUCUCUUGAGUGUAGGAGAGGGAAUCGGAAUUCCCGGAGUAGCGGUGAAAUGCGUAGAUACCGGGAGGAACACCAGUGGCGAAGGCGGAUUCCUGGCCUACAACUGACGCUGAGGCGCGAAAGCUGGGGUAGCAAACGGGAUUAGAUACCCCGGUAGUCCCAGCUGUAAACGAUGGUCACUAGGUGUGGGUGGUGGUCAAGCCAUCCGUGCCGGAGUUAACGCAAUAAGUGACCCACCUGGGGAGUACGGCCGCAAGGUUGAAACUCAAAUGAAUCGACGGGG